UGGCGGCACUAGCGCGGUGGUCCCACCUGACCCCAUGCCGAACUCAGAAGUGAAACGCCGUAGCGCCGAUGGUAGUGUGGGGUCUCCCCAUGUGAGAGUAGGGAACAGGCAUCAA
rnacentral:rRNA from 1 species